rnacentral:rRNA from 1 species
UUUAUGGAGAGUUUGAUCCUGGCUCAGGAUGAACGCUGGCGGCGUGCCUAAUACAUGCAAGUCGAGCGAACGGACGAGAAGCUUGCUUCUCUGAUGUUAGCGGCGGACGGGUGAGUAACACGUGGAUAACCUACCUAUAAGACUGGGAUAACUUCGGGAAACCGGAGCUAAUACCGGAUAAUAUUUUGAACCGCAUGGUUCAAAAGUGAAAGACGGUCUUGCUGUCACUUAUAGAUGGAUCCGCGCUGCAUUAGCUAGUUGGUAAGGUAACGGCUUACCAAGGCAACGAUGCAUAGCCGACCUGAGAGGGUGAUCGGCCACACUGGAACUGAGACACGGUCCAGACUCCUACGGGAGGCAGCAGUAGGGAAUCUUCCGCAAUGGGCGAAAGCCUGACGGAGCAACGCCGCGUGAGUGAUGAAGGUCUUCGGAUCGUAAAACUCUGUUAUUAGGGAAGAACAUAUGUGUAAGUAACUGUGCACAUCUUGACGGUACCUAAUCAGAAAGCCACGGCUAACUACGUGCCAGCAGCCGCGGUAAUACGUAGGUGGCAAGCGUUAUCCGGAAUUAUUGGGCGUAAAGCGCGCGUAGGCGGUUUUUUAAGUCUGAUGUGAAAGCCCACGGCUCAACCGUGGAGGGUCAUUGGAAACUGGAAAACUUGAGUGCAGAAGAGGAAAGUGGAAUUCCAUGUGUAGCGGUGAAAUGCGCAGAGAUAUGGAGGAACACCAGUGGCGAAGGCGACUUUCUGGUCUGUAACUGACGCUGAUGUGCGAAAGCGUGGGGAUCAAACAGGAUUAGAUACCCUGGUAGUCCACGCCGUAAACGAUGAGUGCUAAGUGUUAGGGGGUUUUCGCCCCUUAGUGCUGCAGCUAACGCAUUAAGCACUCCGCCUGGGGAGUACGACCGCAAGGUUGAAACUCAAAGGAAUUGACGGGGACCCGCACAAGCGGUGGAGCAUGUGGUUUAAUUCGAAGCAACGCGAAGAACCUUACCAAAUCUUGACAUCCUUUGACAACUCUAGAGAUAGAGCCUUCCCCUUCGGGGGGGCAAAGUGACAGGUGGUGCAUGGUUGUCGUCAGCUCGUGUCGUGAGAUGUUGGGUUAAGUCCCGCAACGAGCGCAACCCUUAAGCUUAGUUGCCAUCAUUAAGUUGGGCACUCUAAGUUGACUGCCGGUGACAAACCGGAGGAAGGUGGGGAUGACGUCAAAUCAUCAUGCCCCUUAUGAUUUGGGCUACACACGUGCUACAAUGGACAAUACAAAGGGCAGCGAAACCGCGAGGUCAAGCAAAUCCCAUAAAGUUGUUCUCAGUUCGGAUUGUAGUCUGCAACUCGACUACAUGAAGCUGGAAUCGCUAGUAAUCGUAGAUCAGCAUGCUACGGUGAAUACGUUCCCGGGUCUUGUACACACCGCCCGUCACACCACGAGAGUUUGUAACACCCGAAGCCGGUGGAGUAACCUUUUAGGAGCUAGCCGUCGAAGGUGGGACAAAUGAUUGGGGUGAAGUCGUAACAAGGUAGCCGUAUCGGAAGGUGCGGCUGGAUCACCUCCUUUCU